rnacentral:rRNA from 1 species
UACGUAGGGCGCAAGCGUUGUCCGGAUUUAUUGGGCGUAAAGAGCUCGUAGGCGGUUUGGUAAGUCGGGUGUGAAAUCUCCAGGCUCAACUUGGAGAGGUCAUUCGAUACUGCCAUGACUAGAGUCCGGUAGGGGAGUGUGGAAUACCUGGUGUAGCGGUGAAAUGCGCAGAUAUCAGGAGGAACACCGGUGGCGAAGGCGGAUCUCUGGGCCAUUACUGACGCUGAGGAGCGAAAGCGUGGGGAGCGAACAGG